CUCAUCCUUUCCUCGCACCGAUU
rnacentral:miRNA from 1 species